UGUUACCAAGGUCUCUUUGUCAAGGUGAAAGGGAGAGACACCUGCAGCAGAGAUGCGUACAGACACCUGGAAGAGAAUGUGAGAGACACGCGGGAGGCCGGUCCCGGCGGCAGAGACCAUGGCAGCCCUUGUCGUGACCUCAUGGAGGAUCAUGUGGACGAUUCUGUUAGAAAUCUGGCACAGCAAUGAACAUGGAAAUAGCCCACUCUGCUGCAUCGGGCCGUGGUGCUGGG